UACGAAGGGGGCUAGCGUUGUUCGGAAUUACUGGGCGUAAAGCGCGUGUAGGCGGUUGUCCAAGUUUGGAUGUGAAAGCCUUGAGCUUAACUCAAGAAAUGCAUUCAGGACUGGAUGACUAGAGGACCGGAGAGGAUAGUGGAAUUCCCAGUGUAGUGGUGAAAUACGUAGAGAUUGGGAAGAACACCAGUGGCGAAGGCGGCUAUCUGGACGGUUUCUGACGCUAAGACGCGAAAGCGUGGGGAGCAAACAGG
rnacentral:rRNA from 1 species